rnacentral:tRNA from 1 species
GACUCCUUGGUGUAGUGGUUAGCGCACCCGUCUGGAAAGCGGGAGGUCGUAGGCUUAAAUCUUACCGGUGUCU